UACAGAGGGGGCAAGCGUUGUUCGGAAUUACUGGGCGUAAAGGGCGCGUAGGCGGCCUGCUAAGUCGAACGUGAAAUCCCCGAGCUCAACUCGGGAACUGCGUCCGAUACUGGCAGGCUUGAAUCCGGGAGAGGGAUGCGGAAUUCCAGGUGUAGCGGUGAAAUGCGUAGAUAUCUGGAGGAACACCGGUGGCGAAGGCGGCAUCCUGGACCGGCAUUGACGCUGAGGCGCGAAAGCCAGGGGAGCAAGCGGG
rnacentral:rRNA from 1 species